GUUCAUGGCUCAGGAUGAACGCUAGCGACAGGCUUAACACAUGCAAGUCGAGGGGCAGCAUGAUUUGUAGCAAUACAGAUUGAUGGCGACCGGCGCACGGGUGAGUAACGCGUAUGCAGCUUACCUAUCAGAGGGGGAUAGCCCGGCGAAAGUCGGAUUAAUACCCCAUAAAACAGGGGUCCCGCAUGGGAAUAUUUGUUAAAGAUUCAUCGCUGAUAGAUAGGCAUGCG
rnacentral:rRNA from 1 species